rnacentral:rRNA from 1 species
GGUUGCGAUCAUACCAGCACUAAUGCACCGGAUCCUAUCAGAACUCCGAAGUUAAGCGUGCUUGGGCGAGAGUAGUACUAGGAUGGGUGACCCCCUGGGAAGUCCUCGUGUUGCAACCC